UAUGUGAGUAAGAUCCCUAGAAGAUGACUAGGUAGAUAGGUCAGAGAUGGAAGCAUGGCGACAUGUGGAGUUGACUGAUACUAAUCGAUCGAGGACUUAACCACA
rnacentral:rRNA from 1 species